AGCGGGUGAAAAGCCCGCUCGCCGGAAGACCAAGGGUUCCUGUCCAACGUUAAUCGGGGCAGGGUGAGUCGACCCCUAAGGCGAGGCCGAAAGGCGUAGUCGAUGGGAAACAGGUUAAUAUUCCUGUACUUGGUGUUACUGCGAAGGGGGGACGGAGAAGGCUAUGUUGGCCGGGCGACGGUUGUCCCGGUUUAAGCGUGUAGGCUGGUUUUCCAGGCAAAUCCGGAAAAUCAAGGCUGAGGCGUGAUGACGAGGCACUACGGUGCUGAAGCAACAAAUGCCCUGCUUCCAGGAAAAGCCUCUAAGCAUCAGGUAACAUCAAAUCGUACCCCAAACCGACACAGGUGGUCAGGUAGAGAAUACCAAGGCGCUUGAGAGAACUCGGGUGAAGGAACUAGGCAAAAUGGUGCCGUAACUUCGGGAGAAGGCACGCUGAUAUGUAGGUGAAGUCCCUCGCGGAUGGAGCUGAAAUCAGUCGAAGAUACCAGCUGGCUGCAACUGUUUAUUAAAAACACAGCACUGUGCAAACACGAAAGUGGACGUAUACGGUGUGACGCCUGCCCGGUGCCGGAAGGUUAAUUGAUGGGGUCAGCGCAAGCGAAGCUCUUGAUCGAAGCCCCGGUAAACGGCGGCCGUAACUAUAACGGUCCUAAGGUAGCGAAAUUCCUUGUCGGGUAAGUUCCGACCUGCACGAAUGGCGUAAUGAUGGCCAGGCUGUCUCCACCCGAGACUCAGUGAAAUUGAACUCGCUGUGAAGAUGCAGUGUACCCGCGGCAAGACGGAAAGACCCCGUGAACCUUUACUAUAGCUUGACACUGAACAUUGAGCCUUGAUGUGUAGGAUAGGUGGGAGGCUUAGAAGUGUGGACGCCAGUCUGCAUGGAGCCGACCUUGAAAUACCACCCUUUAAUGUUUGAUGUUCUAACGUUGACCCGUAAUCCGGGUUGCGGACAGUGUCUGGUGGGUAGUUUGACUGGGGCGGUCUCCUCCUAAAGAGUAACGGAGGAGCACGAAGGUUGGCUAAUCCUGGUCGGACAUCAGGAGGUUAGUGCAAUGGCAUAAGCCAGCUUGACUGCGAGCGUGACGGCGCGAGCAGGUGCGAAAGCAGGUCAUAGUGAUCCGGUGGUUCUGAAUGGAAGGGCCAUCGCUCAACGGAUAAAAGGUACUCCGGGGAUAACAGGCUGAUACCGCCCAAGAGUUCAUAUCGACGGCGGUGUUUGGCACCUCGAUGUCGGCUCAUCACAUCCUGGGGCUGAAGUAGGUCCCAAGGGUAUGGCUGUUCGCCAUUUAAAGUGGUACGCGAGCUGGGUUUAGAACGUCGUGAGACAGUUCGGUCCCUAUCUGCCGUGGGCGCUGGAGAACUGAGGGGGGCUGCUCCUAGUACGAGAGGACCGGAGUGGACGCAUCACUGGUGUUCGGGUUGUCAUGCCAAUGGCACUGCCCGGUAGCUAAAUGCGGAAGAGAUAAGUGCUGAAAGCAUCUAAGCACGAAACUUGCC
rnacentral:rRNA from 1 species